UGUGAGAUGGUGAUGAACAUCCUGGGGUGAAGCCAGCCCUCACUGCCAAAAGGUGACUGCAUGUGGAAGAGGGAAACCAGCACAAAAUCCUUCCAUCAUUGAUUCCACUGCCAUGGCCCGGCUGUGGCUCCAUCUCUGCAUCUCCGUCCAGAUCCUAGGUUUCUGUACAAAUCUAUUUUUGUCCCAGACUCCAGGGAAUAUUUUAGCCCAAACUAAUGGUAAAACAGAAAUCUUCUGUGAGCUGAAGAGGGAGCACACUGGGGUGUACUGGUACCGCUGGAGCCAGAAGAGGCAAAAUUUCGAAUUCUUAGUAUUUUCCAACAUAUUGGGCAAAGCCAUCUACGGCACGAACAUCAGCCAGGACAAGUUUAGCAUCCACGGGACAAGUGCACACAGCUCCUGCAGCCUGCACAUCAGCCACCUCCAUGCCUCAGACAACGGAACCUAUUACUGCUCCAUUUCCCAGUCCUCCCAGCUCUUCCUGGGCAGUGGGACACGACUCCGUGUGGUUGAUGUUCUGCCUUUGCCUCCGAAGGCCACUCAGGAACCAAUCUCCAAAAAGCCCAGGAAGCACAUAACCAAAAGAAAAGCUGCUGGCGAGAAAGGUGCCUGCAGCCCCCUGGUCUGGGUCCCUUUGGCCACGAGUGUUCUGGUCCUCCUGCUGAGCCUCAUCCCUACUGCCUACCGCCUCUACCGUAUACGAAGGAGGCUGUGGCUUCGCAUCCACAGGCAGUAAAUCCUACCGGAUCUUUCCAUCUUGUGCAGGCAGGGAGAAGCCCCGGAUUCUCCCCUGCACAGUUCUGAGCCCUGCCUGGAUGUGACAUGUGAAGGAUGCUACAGGGGGCAGACAUGGGCUUGCAUGGCAGACAGACACUGCUUUCCUGUGACAGACCAUGCUUUGAACAUCUUUCCUUGACACAACAGCUGCCAACUGGACUGGGACGGAUCCUGCAGUGCGCUGAGCAGUUCUCCAUGGACCCUGAGCAGGGUGAACGCUGCGGCUGGCUCUGCGCUGGGGGCACCGGGGCUGCUGUACCAAAGGGAUUCAGACGGACUGGAAAGAUGCUCCGAGAGCGUCUUGCUUUUAGUUUGCUCCUGCUGAAUGCUGGUUGGUAAGACUUUGCUAACUAACACUCUGAGAGCCACCAGCAGCCGGCAGGAGCAGGUCACUGCUCAGCUUGUAAAGGCCCUGAACGGGCACAUUCAUUAGAAACAGAGAAUACAUCACUCCAUCAUUUCGCUCUGCAGGCUGAGGUCUUGUGGCCGUGCCCAGUGUAGGACACAGCUAUGUGACAUGCAAAGAGCCACAGCCUCUGCCCGAGCAAAAAUCAAAGCAGAAGAGCAGCUCCAGGGGGAGGAAGGCUGACAGGGGCUCCUCUCCCACAGGAGAAUGCAAACAGCCAGGAGUGGGAGAGGAAAGCCAGGGAAAGCAAUGGACACAAGGCCAAACACCAGGCAGAGCCUGAACACAAACAUCGCCUCUGAGAGCAAACAGAGGAGACCGGGGGCUGGCGCUGAGCCCAGCAGCACCUCACAGCCGGCAAAAACUGCCCUGAGCAACCCCAGAGUGUGCUGAGCCCUGAGAAAUGUCUGCCUGUGCUGAGUCCUAAGUGGCAUGUGCUGAGCCCUGAGAAAUACCUGUGUGUGCUGAUCACUAAGCAAUGCUCGUGUGCGCUAAGCCCCAAGCACUGACCAUGUGUGCUGAGCCCCGAGCGAUACCCGUAUGUGCCGAGCCCUAAAUGAUGCUCACAUGUGCAGAGCGUUGUUACGCUCUCUUGUGCUGAGCCCCAAGCAGUGUCUCGCAUAUGCUGAGCCCCAAUUAAUAUUUGUGUGUGCUGAGCCCUAAGUGAUGCUCACAUGUUCUAAGCCCAGAGCAAUGCCUUUGUAUGCUGAGCCCCAAGGAAUGCCAGAAGCAGGAUAGGUUUCCCCAGGGAUGUUAGCAAGCCUCGGCCCUUGCCUGAACCUGUAAGGCAGACAUGGGACUGGAAAUUCAAGACCGGACUUGGAAAUUUGGUGUCUUGCUGAGCUCUGGCAGUGGGUGCUCGCUCUCAGACGCAUCCCCGGUGCCACAUCUCUGCUGAGGCUGUAUCAGCUGCAGUGAGGACAAGGGAAAGGUGGUCCAGACACCUCCUGGCUCUGGCAUGGGGGGAGUCCAGCAGCUACUGUUACUGCUGGGGAAGCACAGGGAUCUGCUGUCCUGCACAUUGCACGUGUCCUUGAAGCUGCUCGUGUGCCAAGGGCUGAUGUGGCUCCAAAUUCCCCAGGGCUGGAGCAAACCAAGAAUGGCAGUGGCACAGCAUCAUCCCUCUGGCCGUACCUUCCCCUCCAUCCAGGGCAGAGGGAGCUGUUGCUCCCCACUUUAACACAGUUUCUUCCAGAUGGCCUGGUCUCAAACCUGGCCACAGGUGCUCCUUGCAACAGGGAUUUCCCCUAAAUGCCACGGGAAUAAAGCUGGUACUGGACCACACCGAGCUGCUUUCCCAGGCUGCGAUAUUUACCCAGGCUCUCAGGCUGCACAAAUGACGGCUGCAAGGAACUCGAUCCCCAGAGCCCAUCCCACCAGAGAUGCUGUUGGGAAGGGGCCCUGAGCAUCUCUGCUUCCAACACAUCACACCAGCAGCUUAUUUUAGCCUCUGUGAAAGCUCCUAUGAAAUAAACCCACCGUUUUCCUACCCUGCAAGCACUCAGCAGACAGAGCUUCACCCCAGGAGCAGACGGGUUUCAUGAGAUGUAUGUUUUAGACACCAGCUAUAAGGAAACCCCUUGGAAACUUCCCGUGGGCAAAGGUUUAUUCUUUCUAAAAGAGAGUUUUCCCCUCUGCCUGCAGCUGCUUUUGAGAUCCCAGAUCUGUUUCCCAUGCUUGAGGCAUCCUGACCUUAGUGUCUAUCCCUGCUUCCCCUCUCCCACCUCUUGCCCAGCGCAGGAGAUGGCCUCCCAUGGCCAGACAGCUGGGGCCGCAUGUGGCAGCAGAAGGCAGACUGCAACAGCCCAAUCCUUCUCUUCCACUGGAAGGUGAGUGGGCAGAGAUAACCCUGCCUGUUCCACUUCUUUUUCCUCCAUCCCCAUGCUCAGACCAUCCAAGCAGUGUCCAGUCCUUACUGAAACCACCCAGGAUGGCAACAUCUUGCCUUGACACACUUCAAUCACCAGAUUAAUCCAACUCAGAGAGUCCUCAUUCAAACAAAGCACAUUUACCUCUUGGUUCUCUGCCUGUCAAUGAAUAAUUUUAACAGGCAGCAAAGAAUUUGCUCAGAUCCUGAAUUUCCCAAGUUGGCUUUCUUCCUCAUUUGUAAACUGGAAAGAAAACUCUCCAAAACCCCCCAAAACCCAAAACCCCAGCAUCACCUGCAUGCAGUGAAAACAGGGGAGGACAGCAACAGUCAAGGAUGCUGCAUGUUGUGUUGAAAUACAGGAUUGGGCAGUUUAACAAUGGAAAUUAUGAAAAAAUUCUGGCAGUAAUUGCUAUGACCAUCAACAGGGUGAUUUAAGACAGUAACUUUGAGAGAGAUUUUAGUGGAAGGUUUCACAACUCUGACAGCCAGUGGGAAAAAAAAUACCUCUUGUUUCAUUGGCUUUUUUCCCAGACCAUACAUAAAAAAGAAACAGAAGCGAUAAUAAACCAUGCUUUAAUGACUGAGAAAACGAGCCUGGUACUAUGAUAUCUAUAGCUUUUUAGGUUUUCUUUCCUACCUCAUCACCGUGCUGAGAGCACAACGACCAUAGCAGGCAAGGAUCAAGAAUGACACGUUACAGCAAGUGCAGAAGGAGGAAUGCUUCCAUCAUGAAAGCGAAAGAGAGAGAUUUCUGUGCAUCUCUGCUAAUGGCAUGGUGCCCAGAUCUAUGGAGGGAGAGGUACAGGGAUGGAUCAGCCUUCUCCUCUCUCCUACUGUCACCCUCCUCCCCGCAGUGAGGAACAUCCAUUCCUAGAAAGGAAAACAAUGGGAUUUUAUAUAUCAUCCCAAACCCUCACGUGAGCAGUUAAUAAAUGAUGUCACCUUAAGGGACAAAAGGAACUGCUGCAAAAAAACUUGAACAAAGACAAAAAGCCUUUGAACAAGACAAGGAGGCGUUUGUAGAUCUAUAGGUUUAAGUAUAAAGUGUUACCCUUGUUGUAACCACCCCCGCAAAUCAUCAGGCAAGGAAUUAUAAGAAAGGUCACAAAUUACACGUUGCAAUAGUCUGUUAUUUUUAUGAUUUUACUUUCUUUUAUAUCCUAUAUUUAUAUUCUCUAUAUAUCCCAUGUAGAACACAUUCUAUAUUUUAAAAGACUACAGUCGCUCUUUCGACAAAGAGCGUAUGCACGUCUUGACAGCAUCAACAUAUUCAAGGAACAGAGAGCGGAGCAGAAAUACAGGUUUUUCAGGCAUUGCUGUAACAGUCUCCACGGUUUUGUAGAACUUCUGUACAUGGAUUUAAAAAAAAAACGUGUCAGCCUUUCCAGAACAUCUCAGUUGCUGAUCAAUAUUGGCAGUGCGCAGUUUUUCUUUAUUCUUUAAAUCCAGACAUUCCUAUGAGGAGAACCUGUGAUUCUAUAAGUGAAUAUAAACUGGGUGCACUUGAAAACAUUAGAUUGAAAACACUCCAGUGACCUGAGAUUGGAAGUGAUAUGUGAUUUUAAAGGUUCUAAAUAUAAAAAUUCUGCAGUCAUAAACACAGAUGAGUUGGGCAUGAUAAUGGAGAACGGGAGAGCAACAUCUCUAUUGGAUGAUUAAACUGCAAAUCCCUGCAAAGAGAAAGGACAUAUGUAUAUAUAUGGGUGCUGGUUAGAUUCAUUCUGAUUUAUCCUCGAGCAGAAUAGCUCUGUGCACUGUACCUGCUUGUUAAAUAUCUCCUCCUAGCAGGAAAAACAGAUUCACAGCACGACUUCCAGGCAUCCAGACCAGACUUGUUAAACAGGAAUUUCUAAACGCUUUUUUCUGCCUCUAUAUAAAAACAGAUACACCCCAGAAGCUGCAAAGAAAUUUCUCAGUUUUCACUUGCUGUUCCUGAAUGCCAUUAGUGCAUAAACACAGCCCUUUCGCUACCUGCGUGCAGGGGCAAGGCUCUCCCCCAUCUUUCAGAAGGGUCCAAUACACAAAAGCCCUCCGGCACUCACAGCACACGCCGGCUCUGCUAUUUCAUAUAUCAAACUGUUUACAGGAGCCUUAAAGACAGAAAUACUUGAUCAUCUCCAUUGACAGUUAUUAAUAUAAACAAUAUUAUAACCAUAUAUAA